rnacentral:lncRNA from 1 species
ACCGGUACAGAGUCAAUGUGGAGGCUAUAUGCAGGGUAUUACGGUACAGAGUCAAUGUGGAGGCUAUAUACAGAGGGUACCGGUACAGAGUCAAUGUGGAGGCUAUAUACAGGGUGUUACGGUACAGAGUCAAUGUGGAGGCUAUAUACAGGGGGUACCGGUACAGAGUCAAUGUGGAGGCUAUAUACAGGGGGUACCGGUACAGAGUCAAUGUGGAGGCUAUAUACAGGAGGUACCGGUACAGAGUCAAUGUGGAGGCUAUAUACAGGGGGUACCGGUACAGAGUCAAUGUGGAGGCUAUAUACAGGGGGUACCGGUACAGAGUCAAUGUGGAGGCUAUAUACAGGGGGUACCGGUACAGAGUCAAUGUGGAG